rnacentral:rRNA from 1 species
GUAAGGAAUAUUGGUCAAUGGGCGGGAGCCUGAACCAGCCAAGUCGCGUGAAGGAAGAAGGAUCUAUGGUUCGUAAACUUCUUUUGCAGGGGAAUAAAGUGCAGGACGUGUCCUGUUUUGUAUGUACCCUGAGAAUAAGGAUCGGCUAACUCCGUGCCAGCAGCCGCGGUAAUACGGAGGAUCCGAGCGUUAUCCGGAUUUCUUGGGUUUAAAGGGUGCGUAGGUGGUUUGAUAAGUCAGCGGUGAAAGUUUGCAGCUUAACUGUAAAAAUGCCGUUGAAACUGUCGGACUUGAGUGUAAAUGAGGUAGGCGGAAUGCGUGGUGUAGCGGUGAAAUGCAUAGAUAUCACGCAGAACUCCGAUUGCGAAGGCAGCUUACUAAGCUACAACUGACACUGAAGCACGAAAGCGUGGGGAUCAAACAGGAUUAGAAACCCUGGUAGUCC